rnacentral:lncRNA from 1 species
ACUAAUCAUACACGUAAACGUGUACGAUCAAGAUCAGGGACUCACGGGAAGAUAUCACAACACAACUCUACAAAUAAGAUAAGUCAUACAAGCAUCAUAUUACAAGCCAGGGGCCUCGAGGGCUCGAAUACAAGAGCUCGAUCAUAGACGAAUUAGCGGAAGCAACAAUAUCUGAGUACAGACAUAAGUUAAACAAGUUUGACUUAAGAAGGCUAGCACAAAUUAGGAUACAGAUCGAAAGAGGCGCAGGCCUCCUGCCUGGGAUCCUCCUAAACUACUCCUGGUCAUCGUCAGCGGGCUGCACGUAGUAGUAGGCACCUCCCGAGUAGUAGUAGUCGUCGUCAACGAUGGCGUCUGGCUCAUGGGCUCCAACGUCUGGUCGCAGCAAUCGGGUAUAGAGAGGGGGAAAAGAGGGAGCAAAGCAACCGUGAGUACUCAUCCAAAGUACUCGCAAGCAAGGAGCUACACUACAUAUGUAUGCAUUGGUAUCAAAUGGCAUAAGGGUAUCAUAUGUGGACUGAACUGCAGAAUGCCGGAAUAAGAGGGGGACAGCUAGUCCUAUCAAAGACUACGCUUCUGGUAACCUCCAUCUUGCAGCAGGAGAAGAGAGUAGAUGGUAAGUUCACCAAGUAGCAUCGCAUAUCAUCAUCCUAACCGAUGAUCCUCCCUUCGUCGCCCUGUGAGAGAGCGAUCAUCGGUUGUAUCUGGCACUUGGAAGGGUGUGUUUUAUUAAGUAUCCGGUUCUAGUUGUCAAAAGGACAAGGUACAACUCCAAGUCGUCUUGUUAUCGAAGAUCACGGCUAUUCGAAUAGAUUAACUUCCCUGCAGGGGUGCACCACAUAACCAAACACGCUCGAUCCCAUUUGGCCGGACACACUUUCCUGGAUCAUGCCCGGCCUCGGAAGAUCAACACGUCGCAACCCUACCUAGGCACAACAGAGAGGUCAGCAUGCUGGUCUAAAUCCUAUGGCGCAGGGGUCUGGGCCCAUCGCCCAUUGCACACCUGCACGUUGCGAGGGCGGCCAGAAGCAGACCUAGCCUAGCAGGUGUUCCAGUCCAAUCUGGCGCGCGCCGCUCAGUCGCUGACGUCACGAAGGCUUCAGCUGAUACCACGAUGUCGAGUGCCCAUAACUGUCCCCGCGUAGAUGGUUAGUGCGUAUAGGCCAGUGGCCAGAGUCAGAUCAAAUACCAAGAUCUCGUUAACGUGUUAUCUUGAAAUAACCGCGAACGCCGACCAGGGCCAGGCCCACCUCUCUCCUAGGUGGUCUCAACCUGCCCUGUCGCUUCACCACAAAGAUCCACACAGAGGGCCGUUGGGACAAAGGUCCUUUCAGCCCCCAAUCCGUGAAUCAUUCGUGGGUGUUCCACGAACCGACCCGACUUUAGUCACCACGUGUAUCAUGUAUAAAGUAUAUAGUAUAUAUCCGUGAUCACCUCCCGAGUGAUCACGGCCUGAUAGUAUAGCAUGGCAGACGGACAAAAAUGUAGGGCCACUGAUGAUAAACUAGCAUCCUAUACUAAGCAUUAGGAUUGCAGGUAAAGGUAACAACAGUAGUAGCAAGGACAGGCUAUGCAUCAGGAUAGGAUUAACACAAAGCAGUAACAUGCUACACUACUCUAAUGCAAGCAGUAUAGAGAAGAGUAGGCAAUAUCUGGUGAUCAAGGGGAGGCUUGCCUGGUUGCUCUGGCAAGAAGGGUUCGUCGUCGAUGUAGUCGAUCACAAGGGUACCGAUAGGGAUCUCGGAGUUUACCGGAAAGAAGUAACGGAGGGGGAACACAAUAAAUAACAUAGCAAACAAAGCAACACAAAGCAUAACAUGGCAAUGCGCAGUACUAGGGGUGACCUAACACCGUAUGAGGUGAUACCGGUGAAGGGGGGGAACAUCCGAGAAAAUAUCCCCGGUGUUUCGCGUUUUCGGACAGAUGAAUCGGAGGGGGAAAGUUGCGUGUUCGCUAUGCUAGGGAUGUGUGGCGGACGAACAGACUGCGUAUUUGGAUUUUUCUCGUCGUUCUCAGCAACUUUCAUGUACAAGGUAUUUUCAUCCGAGUUACGGAUUAUUUUAUACUGAUUUUUAAAGUUUAAUUUAUUUUCUAGAAUUAACAUAUUAUUCUAAUUUGGGUUGACUAAGUCAAUUUGACUAGUCAAAAGGGGAUGUGUGGCCGACAUGUCAUAGACUCUAAACCUAACUUAUUUAAAAAGAGGGCCUACAUGUCAUCUACUACUAGAGUAACUUAGCACUAAUAAAACUAGCUAAGGAGCAAAAAUAAUCCUAAAACUAAUCCAUCUAAUUAAACUAGACCUAAACUAAUUUUGGUGCAGCCCCACACACAUGGCACAUCGGCCACACACACUCACACGCUGCACAAAUAUCACACACACACACACACCUACACAGCAGUACACACAUCACACACACCUAGAGAAUACACACACAGAGCACGUAGCUAGGAGUUACUUAUGUUUCCUUUUAACAAAAAAGAGCAUUUUGCGAUUUUGAUAGGAUUUAAUCCAGGCAUCGAAGGGAUUUGGUCCAGUGGGAUAAAAUGGAGUUCGUCAUGCAAACUUUCUACUCAUAUUAUUUUUGCCCAAGUUAGUAGUUGGUUAGCCACCGUUUAGGAACUGUCUAAAGUGUUAGUCAUUGUAAAACUAGAGAAGCUAGCUAGUAACUACAAAGUACAGUAAGCAGCGGCAGUAGUAGGAUGCAGUAGCCGCGCUAGUAGCAACGUAUAGCAACAGCAAGUAGAUAAGUAAGUAGCAGCAGCGCAGGAGCAGGUUGCGGCGGCUCGCAGGGGCGGCCGGGAGCACGGCAACACGGGGGCGGACGCGUGCCUCGAGGCGCAGCCGGGCGCAAGGCAAGGCGCGACGAGGAGCUGCUAUGGGCGCACUGCGAGGAGCAAAGGCGCGGGGAUGGGCAGGCGGGCUUGCUCUCGGACGCAAAGCGUCGGCCAUGGCGGCCAGGCUCGCGAGGACGACGAUACGGUGACGGAUCGAGCAAGUAAAAGAGGGGGAUGGGGAGAGGAGCUCACCAGGGGGCGGAUGGUAUUCUCCGGAAGGCCGGGGACAGGCCGGAGAGGCUCGGGGAGGACCGGAGGAGCUGAACGACGCGGCGGGAUGGCGGCGAUCGAAACAGGGGAAGACGCCCGAUCGGGCGAUGACGACCUCCGCGGCUCGAGCUUGCGGGCGAGGACAGUGUGGACGAACGACGCGGGGCUCCUGGUAGGUUCUCCCGCGGCGGAGAGCUCGUUGGUCGUGGUGACGACGACGCAGCGGUGGUGACGCGGCGAUCUCGCGCGGGGCGAAGAGAGUGGGCGAGGGAGAGGGAGAUGGAGGAUUUGGGGGCUACGGUUCCAGAGGGGACGGAGGCUGCUAGGGGAGCCCUUAACCAACAGGGGGAGCCGCGGGAUAGCCGGCACCUGGCUGGGGCGCCAUGGAUGCCCG